rnacentral:rRNA from 1 species
CACGUGAAAUUCCGUCGGAAUCUGGGAGGACCAUCUCCUAAGGCUAAAUACUCUCUAGUGACCGAUAGUGAACCAGUACCGUGAGGGAAAGGUGAAAAGCACCCCGGAAGGGGAGUGAAAUAGAACCUGAAACCGUGUGCUUACAAGUAGUCAGAGCCCGUUAAUGGGUGAUGGCGUGCCUUUUGUAGAAUGAACCGGCGAGUUACGAUUUGAUGCAAGGUUAAGCAGUAAAUGUGGAGCCGUAGCGAAAGCGAGUCUGAAUAGGGCGUUUAGUAUUUGGUCGUAGACCCGAAACCAGGUGAUCUACCCUUGGUCAGGUUGAAGUUCAGGUAACACUGAAUGGAGGACCGAACCGACUUACGUUGAAAAGUGAGCGGAUGAACUGAGGGUAGCGGAGAAAUUCCAAUCGAACCUGGAGAUAGCUGGUUCUCUCCGAAAUAGCUUUAGGGCUAGCCUCAAGUGAUGAUUAUUGGAGGUAGAGCACUGUUUGGACGAGGGGCCCCUCUCGGGUUACCGAAUUCAGACAAACUCCGAAUGCCAAUUAAUUUAACUUGGGAGUCAGAACAUGGGUGAUAAGGUCCGUGUUCGAAAGGGAAACAGCCCAGACCACCAGCUAAGGUCCCAAAAUAUAUGUUAAGUGGAAAAGGAUGUGGCGUUGCCCAGACAACUAGGAUGUUGGCUUAGAAGCAGCCAUCAUUUAAAGAGUGCGUAAUAGCUCACUAGUCGAGUGACACUGCGCCGAAAAUGUACCGGGGCUAAACAUAUUACCGAAGCUGUGGAUUGUCCUUUGGACAAUGGUAGGAGAGCGUUCUAAGGGCGUUGAAGCAUGAUCGUAAGGACAUGUGGAGCGCUUAGAAGUGAGAAUGCCGGUGUGAGUAGCGAAAGACGGGUGAGAAUCCCGUCCACCGAUUGACUAAGGUUUCCAGAGGAAGGCUCGUCCGCUCUGGGUUAGUCGGGUCCUAAGCUGAGGCCGACAGGCGUAGGCGAUGGAUAACAGGUUGAUAUUCCUGUACCACCUAUA